GACGAACGCUGGCGGCGUGCUUAACACAUGCAAGUCGAACGCUGAAGCACCAGCUUGCUGGUGUGGAUGAGUGGCGAACGGGUGAGUAAUACGUGAGUAACCUGCCCUUGACUCUGGGAUAAGCCCGGGAAACUGGGUCUAAUACUGGAUGCUACAUGUCACCGCAUGGUGGUGUGUGGAAAGGGUUUACUGGUCUUGGAUGGGCUCACGGCCUAUCAGCUUGUUGGUGAGGUAAUGGCUCACCAAGGCGACGACGGGUAGUCGGCCUGAGAGGGUGACCGGCCACACUGGGACUGAGACACGGCCCAGACGCCUACGGGAGGCAGCAGGGGGGAAUAUUGCACAAUGGGCGAAAGCCUGAUGCAGCGACGCCGCGUGAGGGAGGACGGCCUUCGGGUUGUAAACCUCUUUCAGCAGGGAAGAAGCCACAAGUGACGGUACCUGCAGAAGAAGCGCCGGCUAACUACGUG
rnacentral:rRNA from 1 species